rnacentral:rRNA from 1 species
CUGGCGGCGUGCCUAACACAUGCAAGUCGAACGAGAAAGUGGAGCAAUCCAUGAGUAAAGUGGCGACCGGGUGAGUAACACGUGACUAACCUGCCUUCGAGUGGGGGAUAACCUCGGGAAACCGGGGCUAAUACCGCAUAAUGCCGAGAGGUUAAAGGAGCAAUUCGCUUGAAGAGGGGGUCGCGGCUGAUUAGCUAGUUGGCGGGGUAACGGCCCACCAAGGCGAUGAUCGGUAGCCGGCCUGAGAGGACGCACGGCCACACUGGAACUGAAACACGGUCCAGACUCCUACGGGAGGCAGCAGUGGGGAAUUUUGCGCAAUGGGGGAAACCCUGACGCAGCAACGCCGCGUGGAGGAUGAAGUCCUUUGGGAUGUAAACUCCUUUCGACCGGGACGAUAAUGACGGUACCGGUGGAAGAAGCCCCGGCUAACUUCGUGCCAGCAGCCGCGGUAAUACGAGGGGGGCAAGCGUUGUUCGGAAUUAUUGGGCGUAAAGGGCGCGUANGCGGUGCGGUAAGUCACCUGUGAAACCUCUGGGCUUAACUCAGAGCCUGCAGGCGAAACUGCCGUGCUG